rnacentral:rRNA from 13 species
GGAAUACCGUGUAAAUCAACGAGGACCACCUCGUAAGACUAAAUACUCCUGAGUGACCGAUAGUGAAGUAGUACCGUCAGGGAAAGGUGAAAAGAACCCCUUUAGGGGAGUGAAAUAGAAUAUGAAACCUUAAGUUAACAAGAUGUAGGAGGGAAAAUUAAACCUGACUGCUUGCCUGUUGAAGAAUGAGCCGGCGACUUAUAAAUUGUGGCUUGAUUAAAGACUAAUAAAUUUUUCUGUAGUCAAAGCGAAAGCGAGUUUGAAUCAAAGCGUAUUAGUCACUGUUUAUAGACUCGAACCCGAGUGAUCUAACCAUGACCAGAGUGAAGCUUAGGUAAAACUGAGUGGAGGCUCGAACUGACCGAUGUUGAAAAAUCGGCAGAUGAGUUGUGGUUAGCGGAGA